CUUAAGCAACUGCAUUUGAUUUAAGCAAAUUGGGCCUCAAAUAAACUAUUUGCUUUAAAAAUGUGAUUUUUAUUUACAGGCACAUUAAGGUUCCGAACUCUGAUUAAAUCAAGUCGUGGGUAUAUCGAUACCAGAUGACAAAUUUAUGGCAUUUGCACACCUCUAUCGUCAACAAAACAUUACUUUUGCCAAGUAUGUAAACAAAAACAGUUCAUGUAUAAAACUAUGAACAAGAUGGGACGUUUGAUGACAAAACAUUAAUUAUAUUUACCCAGGCGGGCAAUGAGAAAACAUAGUUGCACCAAUUGCAUGAGUUAUUGGUAGAUGCAAUGGAGGAGCUGCAAAGUGGCUCACAUUAGGCCCACUGGUGACUUAUACAAGGCGGAACUCGACCUUUUUCCCGGGAUUGAUCCCCAGGAGCAUUUCAAUCUGGACGCGAAUCUUUCAAAACCGGCCAUAAAUAUAAGAUUGCAUGCAGCUUAAGCCUAAAUGUCGGAUUAUUAUUGAUCUUACACUCAAAUUAUUCACCGCAUCCUGAACCGCUAAAAAACAAUUUUUCAGAUUAUAUGAUUACGAUAUUUUCUUAUUAUUAUUAUUUAAGUAAUUGUUGUAUUAAGCAAUACAAAUAUAUUAACAAAACUAUUUUUGAUUAGUUAAGUAAUGCUUUAUUCCGAUUAUAAACAUUCAUUUCGUUUUGCUUAACUAUUUAUAAUGUGGUCUAACAAAUCUAUUCUUUAGAAUCGAUCUAAUUAAUUUAUAAUUGCUAGUUUAUUGAAUAACUAAAUUAAUAUUUACAUGGGUGCUGAACAAAUUUUGCUUACAUAUAUCAGCAUAUGAAGUCCGCCAUAGUUCCUUUUCUAGAGCAAUUUGUAGUUUGUAAUUUCUAUGAACCUUUAUAUUAAAGUUAUUAAAGUUCGGAAAAUUACAUUAGUCGGCAAGAAUGCAUGUAGUAUCCGUAUGUACUAUUCCAAGGAUACUGAAAACAGAUGGAUAUAUCCAGGCGAAUACAUGGCCGAUAUGAGAGGUGCCUUUUAGACAUUUAAGCGACGUUAUCGUAAAAGAAACCACAAAGAAACAUACGGAGAAGGAUUAAACGGACCCAAAAGUGCAAGCUAGAUUCUGAUUGGGAUUAGCUGAUCAAUUGGUACCAAUGCUGGAUUUCGUUUAUUUGCAACGUUUAAUUGAGCGAAAGGAAUAAAAAGCCAAACCGGUUUUGGCUCUCUGAAGAAUGUUGUGUUCUUUCCGCUUAAAUGAGAUUAUUUUUGGCCUGCAUAGCACCAUUAAAAACGCCAGUUUUUAAACCGUAACGUUCUGGUCGACAUCCCCUUACAAAAAUAUGGAUCAAAGAUUUCACCACCUAAUAUGUCUUCUAAGUCUUUAUAAUAUUUGUUAUUAUUUACCGUCAAUUGCAAAGCAACCUAAAGUAUUUUGGAUAUCACUGCCACUAACAUGUUUUGUAUUUAGUUCGAUUGUUAAGGAACUUGUUAAUAUAUUAUAAAUUAGGUGUUUUUUAUCUGAAUUGUAAAU